UACGUAGGGUGCAAGCGUUUAAUCGGAAUUACUGGGCGUAAAGCGUGCGCAGGCGGCUUUGCAAGACAGAUGUGAAAUCCCCGGGCUUAACCUGGGAACUGCAUUUGUGACUGCAUGGCUGGAGUGCGGCAGAGGGGGAUGGAAUUCCGCGUGUAGCAGUGAAAUGCGUAGAUAUGCGGAGGAACACCGAUGGCGGAAGGCAAUCCCCUGGGCCUGUACUGACGCUCAUGCACGAAAGCGUGGGGAGCAAACAGGG
rnacentral:rRNA from 1 species